rnacentral:lncRNA from 1 species
UCUGAUAUGAUAAAUUGUUCUUAGUUAAACUUUACUAUAUUUUUUUUCAGAAAAUAGUUUCGGUCACCAUCAAAUCGCUUAAAUCAUGAAACAUAACCCCCUUUUUUUUGGAGAACGUUUUAAUAAAUUUCCCUAAAAUCCCCAACCCGCUACUCGGCUAACCGCAUAUCACUCUCCUCUGCCGCCUCUGUAGCUCCCAAACGCCACUUUCAAUCAGG